ensembl:lncRNA
GGAUCUAGUAAAGUGGUAAAUGCAAAUCAUGGAUGAAAUUUAUAAGAUUGCUUCCACAGAAAGGAUCCAGCAGUUAGAAAAAGAACUGGCCGUGCAGCUGACUGAACUAAAGUCUGAGAUAGAAGAACAGGAGACUCGUCGAGAUUACAGCUCUGUUCGAAUGCCAAAGGACAUUUCUUACUUUAGAAGAGAAAGGGAACUGGCUCUAAAGAAAACUUUACAGGUGGCUGAGUCAAAGCCCCUUGUUGUUCAAGCAGAUGUCAUGCAGAGGGAGCUAGAGAGCUGCCUAAGAAGAGAGUACACUCCUGAAAAUUUACCUUUGCUUCUGUUGCAGCAUUAUACAGAGAGAAUUACCCAGCUGGCCCAGAGUAAAUAUUUACACAUGCUUAGAUGGAAGAGGUUUUGCCAGCACAGUAAGAUUAUGGAGCAACUUUAUCCUCUUUACAAGAAACAAGUUGCCUACAUUAUGGAGGAGUACAAUGAUGCCCUUCAGAGAGCUGAAAGAUUGUCUGUUGCGCGGGAAAACUUCCUUAUGGGAAAAAACAAUCCUUCUAACUUAGUGACACAGGAAGACCUGACUAUUUACACAAAGUGGUUUGUGUGUCACCUACACUCACUCAGGACUAUUCACCACUACCUACAGUCCCUCCAGUAUUUGCCCAUCUCCAAAGUGCUGAGUAUAGCUGUCAAUGAAGUUGCUGAGGCUGGUCAGGAGAACGAAAAGAUCUGCGUUGAUGACAUCAACCCUAACAUUCAGAGAUCUUCAUCUCCAGACCCUGGGGAUACCAGCAUUUCAGGACUGACAAGAACAGAAGCUGCUUUUUUCCUGCCCCAACACAUGACCGAAAGAGAAGAACUGACACCUCAGCUGGGGCUCCUGCUCUCCCAUUUCAAUAUCCCCUAUGACGUGGAAGAGCUGAGGGAUGCUGCUCAGGAAAUGGAACUUUUUAACUUGGUUUCCCAAAAAUUUCAAAGCAUCUUCAUGGAGCAACAGAGAAUGCAAACAUUUCCAGAUUAUGAUGCUGAGAUAGCUAAAGUGGAGAAUUUGGGUUUGGCAGGACCUGAUAUGGCCUUGAAAAAGAGAGCUAACUGGAUUUCCUUUAUAAAGAUUAAGCCAAAAUGUGAUCCUUGGCAAAAGAAGAUUUUGACCAAACUAAAAGAACGGAGAAUAGAUGUCUUAAUGCAACUCCAAGCAAAGUUUUUGAAGAUUUCCAGCUCUGAGCGAGUAAUGCAAGUGCUCCAAGACCAUGCUGCAAAGACAGUCAUGCUGGCUCCAUCUCAUCCAACUUCCGUGGCUUCCCAGGGUUUGCAUCAGUGCAACUAUGACCACAUCUGGGAGAGUAUUUACAGCAACAUCAACCUCUACCAGAAUGAAAAUAUGAAAGAAGAUGACCUUUCAAUGGAACAAAAUGAAAAUGACCUAGCACAAAUAAGUCACUGCCAACAUGUUGAUGAGCCUGUCAAGCAGAAAAAAGAGAAAGGGUACAGCUAUGCAAUGGCCCUACAACUGCUGGGUUUGGAUGGUGGGACUGGGCCCAGUGAUAGGGGUCCUGUCCUGAUGAAGGGGACCUACUUGUCCUUUCUGUAUCUGCGCCACUUGCGAAUCAGGGAGCUGCAGCGCACCUGUCUAGGAAUUCUGAACUACUUCAGAUCUGUUGAGCGAACACUGACAAUCAACACUUCAGGCCUUACCUUGGUUGCAGGGAGUCUGGUCCCCACCAUAGAAGAUAACUCCUGUGUAAAUAUGGCCAAAGGAGGCUUAGGCACCUUGCAAGGCCUAGGAGCUCACCACUAUGUCCAUGGGACAGCUGCCGAGCACAAGAUCCACUGUGUCCAAUUCAUGGAGUUCUCUGAAGUGGAGAACCAGGAUGACUACUACAGCAUGGACGCUGGCUCCAUCCACACGCAGGACCAGCACGGAGUACAUAUCAUGUACGACGAAGCCUUGAGGGAUCUGAAGGAGCUCGAGGCAGAACUGCUGCUCGUGGCCAGCCAUUACAUUGAGAAAGAAAAAGGUCACAAAGAGGGCAGCAAGUCAAAUCCUGGCCAGGACUGGGGAUGGGCCCAUGCGAGUGUGGACAGAUUUGCUGUGCUGUAUGACAUGUGGACUUGGGAAGCAGCCCUUCUAGAAAACAAGCGCCAGCUUCUUGACAGUUACUUUGAAGCCUACCAGCAUGUGUUGGACCCUGAGGAGAGGUUUGCCUUAGCACAAGUGAUCACCGACAUCAUGCACAGGCACCCAAGGUUUGAUCUGAGCCACCCCUAUUUCAUUAAGGCCUACCGAGAUGAAUGCACCUGCCUGAGGCUUCACUUGCAGCUAGUGAAGGGCAUCCUCAAUCAGCACAUAGAGCGUCAGCGGGAGUAUGUCCAGAGGCUUUGGCAAGAAGGCCGUCCAGAUGAUAGCAGUAACUUUGGACUUCCCCUUAACAUCAUUUGCAAGCAGCUUAUUUCCAUCAACAAUAGCUGCCCAGCUUUGAAAAACGUUUAUCUACUGGAGUUCCACCCUUCCCUGGGCCUGGCAUCUCUCAUCCCCCGAUCCCUUGAGUACCUCCUCCGGGAGGCCCGCCACACCUGCAGACCCACAGCUGCCAGCAGCCUCACUUGCUGGAGAGACGUGUGCUGCAGCUGGCCCUGGAUAUGUGGCUCACGCCAGCCAGGCCCGAGUCCUGGUACAGCACUCAGCUCCAGAGAGACCUGUUUUCAGCUAAAGUAA